GGCCUGUCGCGGCUGCUGAGCGCUCGGCGCCUGGCGCUGGCCAAGGCGUGGCCAGCAGUGUUGCAAACAGGAACCCGAGGUUUUCACUUCACUGUUGAUGGGAACAAGAGGGCAUCUGCUAAAGUUUCAGAUUCCAUUUCUGCUCAGUAUCCAGUAGUGGAUCAUGAAUUUGAUGCAGUGGUGGUAGGCGCUGGAGGGGCAGGCUUGCGAGCUGCAUUUGGCCUUUCUGAGGCAGGGUUUAAUACAGCAUGUGUUACCAAGCUGUUUCCUACCAGGUCACACACUGUUGCAGCGCAGGGAGGAAUCAAUGCUGCUCUGGGGAACAUGGAGGAGGACAACUGGAGGUGGCAUUUCUACGACACCGUGAAGGGCUCCGACUGGCUGGGGGACCAGGAUGCCAUCCACUACAUGACGGAGCAGGCCCCCGCCGCCGUGGUCGAGCUAGAAAAUUAUGGCAUGCCGUUUAGCAGAACUGAAGAUGGGAAGAUUUAUCAGCGUGCAUUUGGUGGACAGAGCCUCAAGUUUGGAAAGGGCGGGCAGGCCCAUCGGUGCUGCUGUGUGGCUGAUCGGACUGGCCACUCGCUAUUGCACACCUUAUAUGGAAGGUCUCUGCGAUAUGAUACCAGCUAUUUUGUGGAGUAUUUUGCCUUGGAUCUCCUGAUGGAGAACGGGGAGUGCCGUGGUGUCAUCGCACUGUGCAUAGAGGACGGGUCCAUCCAUCGCAUAAGAGCAAAGAACACUGUUGUUGCCACAGGAGGCUACGGGCGCACCUACUUCAGCUGCACGUCUGCCCACACCAGCACUGGCGACGGCACGGCCAUGAUCACCAGGGCAGGCCUUCCUUGCCAGGACCUCGAGUUUGUUCAGUUCCACCCCACAGGCAUAUAUGGUGCUGGUUGUCUCAUUACGGAAGGAUGUCGUGGAGAGGGAGGCAUUCUCAUUAACAGUCAAGGCGAAAGGUUUAUGGAGCGAUACGCCCCUGUCGCGAAGGACCUGGCGUCUAGAGAUGUGGUGUCUCGGUCGAUGACUCUGGAGAUCCGAGAAGGAAGAGGCUGUGGCCCUGAGAAAGAUCACGUCUACCUGCAGCUGCACCACCUACCUCCAGAGCAGCUGGCCACGCGCCUGCCUGGCAUUUCAGAGACAGCCAUGAUCUUCGCUGGCGUGGACGUCACGAAGGAGCCGAUCCCUGUCCUCCCCACCGUGCAUUAUAACAUGGGCGGCAUUCCCACCAACUACAAGGGGCAGGUGAUGGUGCUGGCUCCUCCCCCACAGCUGGAAAGAAGGCUGGGAUGACGGGGCCCACCUCGCAGUUGUCUCUUUAGAUCUUACAGGAAAAGACAGAUGUUUCCUUCAAGAAAGUACUGUAUUGUUUUCUAGAUUGCACUUUAAAUUUCUAUUACCGGAGGAUGGAGGGGGCUUAAUAAUUUAUU
rnacentral:sRNA from 1 species